rnacentral:rRNA from 3 species
AGAGUUUGAUCCUGGCUCAGGACGAAUGUUGGCGGCGUGUAUAAGGCAUGCAAGUCGAGGGAUCGAUCGUAGCAAUACGAUACGGACCGGCAGACGGGAGAGUAACACAUUGGUAACCUACCUCUAAGACGGGGAUAGCCUUCCGAAAGGAAGAUUAAUACCCGAUAGUAACGCGGGGACACAAGUCAUUCGCGUUUAAAGAUUUUUCGCUUAGAGCAGGGCCUAUGGUCUAUCAGCUAGUUGGUGAGGUAAUGGCUCACCAAGGCGACGACGGAUAGGGGACGUGAGAGCGUGAUCCCCCUCACUGGGACUGAGAACUGCCCAGACACCUACGGGUGGCUGCAGUCAGGAAUCUUCCGCAAUGGACGAAAGUCUGACGGAGCGACGCCGCGUGCAGGAUGAAGCCCUUUGGGGUGUAAACUGCUUUUAUAGGGGACGAAUUUGUGACGGUACCCUAUGAAUAAGAGGUUGCUAACUCUGUGCCAGCAGCAGCGGUAAUACAGAGACCUCAAACAUUGUCCGGAUUCAUUGGGCGUAAAGCGUCCGCAGGUUGCCAUAUAAGUUAGGGGUUAAAUCUUCCGACCUAAUCGGAAAACCGCUUCUAAUACUGUAUGGCUCGAGGUUGGGAGAGGCAUAUGGAACUGCCGGUGUAGUAGUAAAAUGCGUUGAUAUCGGCAGGAACACCAAAGGCGAAGGCAAUAUGCUGGAACAACUCUGACACUCAGGGACGAAAGCGUGGGGAGCGAAAGGGAUUAGAUACCCCUGUAGUCCACGCCCUAAACUAUGUGUGCUAGGUAUUGGGAGUAUCGACCCUCUCAGUGCCGUUUAAAAAAGCUAACGCGUUAAGCACACCGCCUGGGGAGUACGGCCGCAAGGCUAAAACUCAAAGGAAUAGACGGGGACCCGCACAAGUGGAGGAUCAUGCGGUUUAAUUCGAUGGUACGCGACGAACCUUACCGGGGCUCAACUACUAGCUGCAAGCCUGAUGAAAGUCGGGCCGCUUUUGAAGGUGCUAGAUAGGUGCUGCAUGGUUGCCGUCAGCUCGUGCCGUGAGGUGUACCCUUAAGUGGGGUAACGAGCGCAACCCUCGUUCUGUGUUAAAUUUACACAGAGGACUGCCUGCGCAAGCAGGAGGAAGGUGAGGACGACGUCAAAUCAGCAUGGCUCUUACGUCCCGGGCUACACGCAUGAUACAAUGGUUAGUACAGAGGGAAGCUAAGCCGCAAGGUGGAGCUAAUCCCAGAAAGCUAAUCUCAGUUCGGAUUGUGGGCUGCAACUCGCCCACAUGAAGCUGGAUUCACUAGUAAACGCGCAUCAGCCACGGCGCGUUGAAUACGUUCUCGGGUCUUGUACUCACAAUAAAAGCGCUGGGCAGUUUAAUAAUCUAGAGAGUUAAAAUCUCUCCCUCUACAACGUCUGUAGAGCGUAGCCGAAAGAUAGUCGUCUUCCGCGAGGGAGGCGGUGAAGG